AGUGAACGCUGGCGGUAGGCCUAACACAUGCAAGUCGAACGGCAGCACAGUAAGAGCUUGCUCUUACGGGUGGCGAGUGGCGGACGGGUGAGGAAUACAUCGGAAUCUACUUUUUCGUGGGGGAUAACGUAGGGAAACUUACGCUAAUACCGCAUACGAUCUACGGGUGAAAGCAGGGGAUCUUCGGACCUUGCGCGAUUGAAUGAGCCGAUGUCGGAUUAGCUAGUUGGCGGGGUAAAGGCCCACCAAGGCGACGAUCCGUAGCUGGUCUGAGAGGAUGAUCAGCCACACUGGAACUGAGACACGGUCCAGACUCCUACGGGAGGCAGCAGUGGGGAAUAUUGGACAAUGGGCGCAAGCCUGAUCCAGCCAUACCGCGUGGGUGAAGAAGGCCUUCGGGUUGUAAAGCCCUUUUAUUGGGAAAGAAAAGCUGCAGGUUAAUACCUCGCUGUUCUGACGGUACCCAAAGAGUAAGCACCGGCUAACUUCGUG
rnacentral:rRNA from 1 species